GGAAGGGUGCCGGAGCGGACGAACGGAGCGGUCUUGAAAACCGUCGCGGGUUCACGCCCGCCGUGGGUUCGAAUCCCACCCCUUCCGCCA
rnacentral:tRNA from 1 species